GGUGAACGCUGGCGGCAUGCCUAACACAUGCAAGUCGAGCGGCAGCACGAGAAGCUCUUGCUUUUGAGGUUAGCGACGGACGGUUGAGUAACACAUAGAUAACCACCCUCUUAGUCUGGGGGAAUUACGUGAAACCGGUGCCACUACCGGCUGAUACUUUGUACGGCAUGAAUCAAAAGUUCUUCACGGUCUUGCUGUUACUUUUAGCCGGAUCCGCGCUGGCUUAUCUAGUUGGUAAGGUAACGCCUUACCAACGCGACGAUGCAUGGCUGGCCUGAUCGGGUGAUCUGCCACACUGGAACUGAGACACGGUCCAGACUCCUACGGGAGGCAGCAGUAGGGAAUGUUCCUCAAUGGGCGAAAGCCUGAUACAGCCAAACCGCGUGAGUGAUGAAGGCCUUCGGCUUGUAAAGCCCUUUUCUUAGGGAAGAAAAUAUGUGUGUGAAACUGCGGACAUCUUGACGGUACCCAAGCAAAAAGCAACGGCUAACUACGUG
rnacentral:rRNA from 1 species